rnacentral:misc_RNA from 1 species
GAUGAAGAACGUAGCGAAAUGCGAUAAGUAAUGUGAAUUGCAGAAUUCAGUGAAUCAUCGAAUCUUUGAACGCACAUUGCGCCCGCCAGUAUUCUGGCGGGCAUGCCUGUUCGAGCGUCAUUUCAACCAUCAAGCCCCCCGGCUUGUGUUGGGGACCUGCGGCUGCCGCAGGCCCUGAAAAGCAGUGGCAGGCUCGCUGUCACACCGAGCGUAGUAGAUCUCAUCUCGCUCAGGGCGUGCUGCGGGUUCCGGCCGUUAAACCACCUUCAUAACCCAAGGUUGACCUCGGAUCAGGUAGGAAGACCCGCUGAACUUAAGCAUAUCAAUAAGCGGAGGA